rnacentral:lncRNA from 1 species
UUUGACCUAAAUAUAUAUAUGUCUCCACCUGAGUUCUCCACUUUCACUUUAUUCUUUUCCUUUUCCAACACUAUGCUUUCUAGCUGCUGUUGUUAGAACCCUAAGCUCCACCGCUUUCUCCUUUGAGUUAUUUGCUAGCCACCUGAUGAGUAUUUGCCAUUUCUCUUCACACAAUGUCUCACUUGACCAAGGUAACAAUUUAUUUUUCCUCUUUUUCUAUGCGUUAUUCCUUGUCACUUCCAUUUCACUAUUUCCCAAUGAUUCUUCAAGAGGAGGAUGCUGUUUGAUGAAAGGAGGUAGUCAUGUGGAUUUCACAGUUCUCCCUAAGGUUGUUUUCCUUUCCUACUUCCUUCUGCAUUUCUCUCUUUUCAGUGCUGACCUCUUUUCUUGUUUUCUAAAUUUGUGUCGAAGUAGUUUCUUUCCAAAUCGAGGCAUGUAGUUGACCUCCAAAACUGAAAACCAUAUUUGAUGUCGCUCUUUUUUGUUUCUGGUGAUAAUUUUAGUGUGCUAAUGAUUAGCCUAUCUGAUUUAGCAACUUUCUUUAUCCUUAUCUUAGGAACAAAAAUGAUGUAAAUAUUUUAGCUGCUUAGAAUCGCGCUCUUCUCUGCUUUAUCUGUCAUGUUUGUUGUUGUUGUAUGAAUGAAUCAAUCCUUCUAGUUCUAAUUCUGAUGAUUGGAAUCUGUGUUUAAAAUAUUUUUGCCUUCCACUGGUAGUUGCUGAAAAUUGCUAAAUAUCUGUAUGUUGAUGUUGUCAGUAGCUAGGUUAGCUAUGUCGUUAGCCAUUUUGUUUUCUUCACUGAAUGUACGUUGUAUUUGUGCAUCCAAACUUUGCAGUGCAGCUUAAUAUCCUCCACCCCUUCAGCUAUUUCCCAUGUAUUUUCCAUUCAUUAUUAACCACAUUGACCAUAAGCAAUGAAUCUAAUUUUAGGAUCACUCUAUAUAAAUUAUUCUCCUCACAGAACUUACAUGCUUCCUAAUUGCUCUCAUUUUAGCAGCUUCAACAUUGGUAGUGAUACGUAUGUUUUGAGCUUGGGAAUGAACUAAAUCGCCUUUAUGAUCUCUAAAGCACCAUAAGUGUUACACUUCACCACUUAUUUUUUAGGCAAUUCCCACCUAAUUUUAUGAUGGUAAAAUUUUGAUUUGUAUGUGCUCAUAUUGCUGAUAAUGUCAUUCCACUCUUUUUCUGGAUUUUUAAUCUAUAGAAACCUUAUCUUUAUCCCCUUCAGUAUAUUAUGCUGCACCUGUGCUAUCAUGUCAUAUAGGCUUGAAUCUCCUCCAUGCUUCCUUUUAUUCCUUCUCUUCCAUGCUUCUUUUUAUUCCUUCUCUUUUACAGUACUCAUAAGAUCAGUAUUAGUAUCAUCCUAUAUAUUAUUUGUAACUUGUUUGCAUCUUGGAUAUACCACCAUGUCAUCAUGAUAUGGGAUAAAAUCUGUCCCUACGCCUUGAUACCUGCAAAAUUAGAAAAAUAAUUCCAUAGCUGUAAAGCUAUGUGAGCUCCUAGGAAAAGAUGUUUUAUAAUGUUUGUAUGAAAUUGUUCAUAACACCAAUAUUUUGAGACUAUUGAUUCUUAUUCUCUGUGGAUUAUCAUCAGUGGCACCAUAUGUUAUGCACCACUUCUUCUCUUAUUUGUAUCAUCUUCCUUUAUAUAUGUGAGACUCAUGAUCCUUGGGAAAUUAUAGGAUUCUUUCUUUUUGAAAUAUUUGUUCCACAUGAAAUAACUCCAAAAAGAUUCAGAUGAAUUUCUAAAGUUCCAAGUUUAGCAAAUAAAGCAUCAACUACAAUAUGAAGUGAUCUAAAACCCUCUGUCUUCCUCCUUAGGUAGACACAAAGCAUCCCAUGCUACCCAAUCUUUUCCUUUGAGACCACCAGUUUUUCUCCAAAAGAAUUUUGCCAUAUUUUAUGGAUCUAAUUAAUUACCUCUUUGGGUGGAUCAUGGCAGACAUCAAAUAUAUAGGAAUUAAUUGGAGAACAUUAUUUAUCAAUACAUAUCUACCUCCAUAUGUCAGAAAUCUACUAUGCCAAGACAUCACCCUUCUGCUAAUCUUCUUAAUCAGCUCUUUAAAAUGACUUAUCUACUUUCUCCUAUAGAAUAUAGGACAACCCAGGUAUGUAAAAGGGAAGCUCCCUAUAUCAAUACCUGUAAUCUUUCUAAUUCUAUUUUUAAUGGAGAAAGACACGUUAUCAUGUAGGUAUAGAAAUUUUUUAUUCAAAUUAAUCAGUUGCCCAUAAGUUUUCUCAUACUUAUUUAUACAUUCAUCAUCAUCUUGAUGAAAAUUGUAAUUAUUCAAUUUAUUUAAGCUUUUAGAUAGAACAUCAGCAACAAUUAAAAAAAGAGUUGGUGAUAAUGAGUCUCCUUUCUUUAGGCCUCUAGAUGAGGAGAAAAAACCAAAAGAUCUUCCAUUCAUUAACACUGAGUAUCAAUUAUUACUGAUCAACCUCCAUACCAUAUCUAUCGGUCUUUUUGAAAAUUCAAACCUUCUCAUCACCUUUAGUCAAGAAAAUCCAGGAUACCCUGUCAUAAGUCUUGGUCAUAUCCAGUUUAACCACUAUGUUGUGCAGUUUAUUCCUUUUAGUUAUGUCCCGAAUGAUCUCUUGGGAAAAUAAUACAUUUUUAGUAAUAUUUCUUCCCUUCACAAAGCCAGUUUGAUUCCUUAAGAUGAUUGUUGGUAUUAUUCCUUCUAUCCUGUUAUGUACGACCUUUGAUAUAAUUUUAUUUGAGAAAGUGCUAAGAUUGAUGGGUCUUAAAUCUGAAAACUUUGUCACCUUUUUUUUAGGAACGAGAACAAGAUUAGUAUAUGUAAUAUAUCUAGGCAGCUCAUAUCGACAAAAGAAUGCUAUCACCAUUUUCACUACAUCUUCUUCAAUGAUCUCCCAACAACUUUGAAAGAAACCUCCUGAAAAAUCAUUCGGGUCACAUGCACUUCACAGUUCAAAGAGAAUACUGCUUCCUUUACUUCUUUUAAAGUAGGGGUUCAAUCUAUUUUCUUUCCUUGUUCCUCAGUAAUAAUUUUUGGGAUAAAAUCCAGCAUGGAUAAAUCUUCAUUGAAAGUACUUUCUUUAAACUGAUGCUCAAAAACUUUAACAAUCUCCUCCCCCAUAUUGUUAGUAUCCUACAGAAUCAUGCCUUAAUCAUUUUCAAUUUCAGUUAAGGCCAAUAUUUUUUUCCUCUAACAUAAGAAUAAAAAAAUUAUAUUUCUGUCACCAUCUUUGAACCAUUUUAUCUCAGCUUUCUACUUCUAGUAUCCCUCUUCAAUAUGAUAAGUAUAUUCUCAAAUCCUCCUCAUCCUUUAUAAGUCUUCCUUUUUUUGCUUUAUGCUAUUUAUUUUCAAUUGAAUUUCUUUUAUUCUAAUUAUAUUCUCUAGGGUAGCCACCUUUUAAAAGAUAUUGCCAUAGGUCUCCUUACUCCAAUUUGCAUUGAUCCUUUUCAAAAUUUUCAUAUUUUCUUGAACAACAUAAAAAUGAUUACCUUGAAUUUGCUUACACCAGUUUUCUUCCACAAUUUGCUAGAACUUGACAUUCUUUGUCCAUAAAUUAAGAAAUUUGAAUGAUCUGUUAGUUCUUUCGUGUCUAGAGUUACAAAAAACUUAUAGUGGGGCAUGGUCAGAUCCA